GGGAGGCGCAAGGCGGCCACCUCCGCCGCUCGCCCCAGCAGCAGGAGCAGCCGCAGCUCUGCCGCACGCCGAAGUCUGGACUGCUCUCCGGGUCCCCUCGCCUGUGAGGAACACACACAGACACCGGGGGUGGGGGUGGGGUUUGAAGUGGGGGGAGUUGGAGGAGGAGGGAACGGAGGGAGGAAGCUUGGGCACCGUCAGGCGCUCUGGUCUCCAAUCUCAGUGUUCUCACGCCGGCGGAGAGAUGUCCCGGCUGUCGCUGCUGGGUGGCCAAGGAGGUUCACAUCCUAGAGUAGGGCGCACGGGUGCGCGAAGGCGCUCGCCAAGGAGGCGUAGAGGGCGCAGCACAACUCCUCUGGGGGGUAACCGGGGGCGGGAGCACGCCCGCCCGCCUUAUGUAAGCAAGGAUUGCAGGGAGAUCAGCGCCCAGGGCGGAAGGUGGAGACCAGCUGUGGGUUUGCCCGCUGAAGCCGAGGCGAGAGAGACCAGGGGACGAAGCGGCUGCGGAGAGUGGCAGCGCGCCUGACGAGAGUGGCAGCGCGCCUGCCUCCCGCGGUGCGCCAGACCUGGACGCCGGGAGUGCAGCGGGCGCGCCCCGGGCCACUAGGCUGUGUCCAGUGGAGCUCAGCCUGCUGCCUGCCGCCUUCUUCGCCGCGCCGGCAAAGCCUGAGCCGGAUUCCCUAGGACUGGACUCGCUCUACGACUUCGGGUCUCGCGGUUGACGAAGCCGGUGCGGGCUCGAACUGAAGCCCUACUUGGUUGGGGAAGAAGGCAUGAAGCUUUUGCAGUGCCCCAGCAGGCUGCUGUCCUGGGGUUGUCAGCGCCAGUCAGACUGCUUUAUGUUCUGAGCGCGUAUGACCCCUUUGCAGUGGAACAGAAACUAAAAGCUCGACGAAAACUCAUUCUGCAACAGUGCUUUCUUUGCGUGCAUCUUGGUGGCUGACAAGGGUGGUGAGGCGAUACCGGGAGAAACUCUCUUAGGAAAAAAAAAAAAAAUGCAAAGCAAAAUUUGUAGAUACUCAAAGUAAUGGUGGAGCCUAUAACAUGUUUUUCAAAUUUCUAAUAGUGUGUGUAAGAACUCGAGCUGCUAUGAAUUUGUUUACCUUUCUACAGGAAAUAAUUGUCUACGUAGGUGGGUUGUGAAUCCCUGUGGUCAUGAUGGAGGGAUGCAAGAUUGGGUGGGUAAAAUAAGGAAAGACUAGACAAAAGGAAAGUGAAUUUAUUAAAAGGUCAACACACAGACACAGACAGCAUUUUGGGAAAAAGAAAACCACUUCCCAAGAUUAGCAUGUCUUUAAACUAAUAAUACAUCAGGGAAUUUUAUGCUCUUGGAGCCAAGGGGGCCAUGUGUAAACACACAUGCACGCACACACACACGCAGGAAACAUGAGGUCUAAUUUUGGCUGUGGUCAUAACUACUCUGUUACCCUGGGUAAGUCAGGUAACCUGUGAAUGUCUCAGUUUCUUCAUUUGUGAAAUAUUUUGAUAGUUUCAAAGUUCUCUUAAGUUCUAACAUUCUAUGAUUCUGCCUGCACAGCCCCAUCCGUCUAGGCAAUAAGACCUAUCUUGGAUGAAUCAGGGAGAUCCAAAAAGGUAGUAUUUGCCAAAGACAUUGACAAAACUGGCCAAUUCUUAUUUCUGUGGAGACUCUGUCCACCACACAAAACCCUUCUUCACUCUCUUCAUCUUCUCCAUACCAAGACAUCAAGAUAUUUGACAACAGGGUAGGUGCUGGCACCAGACUGUCUGCCUUCAGUUCUUAGCAUUUCUUAUUACUUGACUGAUAUUGAACAUUAAAGCUAGGUGCCUCUCUUCCCUAAUUUGUAAGAUGGGUCUAGUAACAGGAACUAUCUCAUAGGGUUAUUUGAGGAUUAUGUAAGUUAAACAUACGUAAAAUGCCUGACACCAAAAUUGUAAACUGCUGGUCUUACCAUUGAUGAAAAAUUCCCAUUAGCCUCAUGCUAUCUAGACCAGUGCUGUUCAGCAGAAAUUUCUGCAAUGAAGAACAUGUUCAUAUUUGUGCUUUCUGAAGUCAUAGUUAUGAGAUACAUGUGGCUACUUGCAAUGUGGCUAGUGUGAAUUGGAAAUUUUUAUUUAAUUUUAAUUUAAAUAGUCACACGUGGCCAGCAGCUACCAUAUUUUAUGGUGUAUCGAGGCCACUAAUAACUUGUCAAGUAUUUUGAGAAUGACUUCACAAGGGAUUAUUAUACUUUAUAUUUAUAUGUACAAUUUUACUAAGAAGGACAACAGCUUAAAUACUAAGAAAUCUCCACACAUACUCACCAUCACAUCAACAACAUCCAAAAGUUAUUUGUUUAUUUAUUUACAAUUUUAUUGCCUGUCUUCUUAAAUUAGAAUUUAACUCUUUUAAGACAGAGAUUUUGCCUUUGUUCAUUAUUUCAACCACAGCUCCUAAACUGAGCCUGAUAUAUAGUUGGUACUCAAUCAAUAUUGAUUGAUUUCCUGCCAAAAAAGCUCAAUGGGGAAGACUCCUCAAAGUCUAGGACAGCUAAAGAAGGUUGAAAUUGUUGCCUACUCCUGUUUGGGGUAUUGAGGUACUCAGUGACAGAUACCACAUGCAAUUAGUUCCUUAAAAUAAAGAAUAAGAGAUUAAAAGAGGAAAUGUAGUUAAAUACUGAAAUUCAGCCUAAAGAUGGCAGGAGAAUGGUUUGAGAAGUGGUAUAGAAUAAUGAGGUGGAAAAGGGGGAAGACAGUGAGAGCACCACACAAAGGACAGGAAAAACACCAGCAAUACAUCAGCUUUACACAGCAGGCAAGUUUCCUGCUAUCUACAAGUACAGAUGGAACUUGUCUUGUGGAUUAACAUCCUGACUACUUUUGUUGAUCAUCACAUUUUUUCCUCAUGAGAGAAAUAAUAGUGUUUUAUAGGCUCCUGAGAAUAGGCUUACUAAAGUCACCGAGAUCUGGGUUCAAAUGACACUGCUUAGGGAGGCAUUCACUGACCAAGUUACCUAAAAUAGCAACAAUCUAUCAUCCAAAAUAUCAUUUGCCGGCUUUGAUUUUGCAUAUAACACUUACUUUAUAUAUGUACAUAUAUGUGUAUAUAUAAGUGUGUGUGUGUGUGUGUGUAUAUAUAUAUCUAUAUAUAUAUACAGUCGCCAAUAAAAUAUAUGCUUCUCAGGGGAGGAAUUUUUUUCUAAUACAUUCAGUGCUCUAUACCCAGAACCUGGAACAAUACCUUGUACAUAAUAGGUGAUCAAUAAAUACUUACCAAAUAUUGAAUGGAUUGAAUCAGAACCAAUGGAUUUAAAAUUGAGCUAAGUCCUUCAUUAAACCUUCUUCCUCUCCUCUUCAGCCUCCCAAGUUAUCAAAUUAUGAGUAGGCUUUUCUAGUUGUUGAAUAAAAUCAAGUUUUGAC
rnacentral:antisense_RNA from 1 species